rnacentral:rRNA from 1 species
UUCCAGACUCCUACGGGAGGCAGCAGUGGGGAAUAUUGGGCAAUGGGCGCAAGCCUGACCCAGCAACGCCGCGUGAAGGAAGAAGGCUUUCGGGUUGUAAACUUCUUUUCUGAGGGACGAAGAAAGUGACGGUACCUCAGGAAUAAGCCACGGCUAACUACGUGCCAGCAGCCGCGGUAAUACGUAGGGAGCAAGCGUUGUCCGGAAUUACUGGGUGUAAAGGGAGCGUAGGCGGGAUGGCAAGUUGGGUGUUAAAUCUACCGGCUCAACUGGUAGUCGCACUCAAAACUGCUAUUCUUGAGUGAAGUAGAGGCAGGCGGAAUUCCUAGUGUAGCGGUGAAAUGCGUAGAUAUUAGGAGGAACACCAGUGGCGAAGGCGGCCUGCUGGACAGUAACUGACGUUGAGGCUCGAAAGCGUGGGGAGCAAACAGGAUUAGAUACCCUUGUA